rnacentral:rRNA from 1 species
AUGGAAAAAGAUAUCAUGAAAACACAAGCAUGCAUGAUAAACAUAACACAUAACGGAAUAACUGCAGAUGAAGAUGAUAAGAAACGACUGCGACUACACACACACAAUGUGCAAGUAAAGUCAACAUGCAAGUUCGGGGCUCAUGAUAAGAGGUUGGCUGCUUGCCUGGGGGUCGACAAAUACUCCGGGAAGAAGUGUGAAACGAUCACGGAAAGAUUUGCCGGAAACAGUUCUCUCUUGGAGGGGGCUGUUUACGAGCAAGGGCAAAGUGGUCAUUUUCACUGUGUGAAAACAUUAUGA